AAACAUAUAUACGGACGCCAAACCAUGUUCCUAACAAAGGACAGUACCAUAUAUAAACAAACUGUGAGAUUAGCUGAAAAGUUAUUAAAACUCAUUAGAUCGAUACAAAUCAGAAAAACAAGUAACAAAAAUACAGACCGGAUGUGGCAGGGUAUUUAUACAUCCCUACAAAAUAAAACAUGAAGUACAGAUCUGAGAGAACUAGCAGUUACUGGCAAUUAGUUAAAUACCAAUAACAACUAAUAAACAAAAUCAUGUAUCUACAGUGUUGGAACGAAACUGCACGUGUUUUCUUAAAUUUCUGAUAAUUAGGGAGACUGUCAAGCGAGACACCAGCAAAUAUUCUUAAAAACUGUUACAGGGA
rnacentral:lncRNA from 1 species